AUAUCCUUGUAUUGCAAGAAGGCUGAGGGGGGAGCUGAUUGGUCUUGUGAAGACUGCUCCAUGUGAUCCCGAGCUCUGUGUGAUUGGGGCUCCCAGUCACGUGGGAGAAGCCCCCACAAAUAUAACCAGAUCCUCGCUUCAGAUCCACUUGCAGCACAGAGAGGUCAGGAUUAGACUCAGACAAACUGGUAUAACAUUGGGGGUGGGGCCAGCAGUCCAGCUCCAUUACCCGUUGCUGUCAUGGAGCCCUUCACCUGGAAUAAUCUGUGGAGAGGGCUUAUUAUUAGAUCCAUAAUUUACAAGAUCCAUUUGGGGCACCAAAUUUUGGGCACGCACAAUGCGCAAUAUUACAAAAAAUGACCCCAAUCCGCCCCUGAUAGUGGUAACAUUAAAAGGCCUCAGGCCAAGCAGAAAGUGCCUAUGGGGUGACUCCCCCCAAAUGCCAUGCAAAGCAUUUGACAGGGAAAGCACCGCUGGAGCACAGGGGGAAGAGCAAAGAGAUUCUGGGGCUGCACCCCUGACCAUUGAGGAAGAGAGGCGGGGACAGCGCAGGUCACGCUGCAGCAGGAAACAGCACACCCAGUCCUGUAGACCUGUGCACAAUCACAGUAACCUGUUUGUAGGGUUUUGUGAAUACUAAAGGAUUAAGCCCUUUUCGGCGUACUGUUUGACAGAAACAACACAUAUGUUUGGGAAUGCUGUAUCUAAAAUCUGGGGUAGCAUAGUGGCUAUGUGUAAUGUGUCUAGUGAGCUGGGAAAUGGUUGGAUGAGAACGUCCCCAAAUCAUUAAUUUAAUGGGGCCUUAGGCAAGCUACUCCUCUUCACUUCCAGCCCUUCUUCUACGGCAACAUGGAGAUAAUGAUGCUUACCUGGGAUAUGUUCAACCUGCUCCAUGCACAAUAUUUCUGUAAUUUUUACAACACCCCUGGAAGGUAAGCUACCAGCACUGAAAAGUGCUACACAAAUCUUUGCAAUGAGCCAACAGUGUGACGCGGCAGCUAAAAAAGCCAAUGCAAUUCUGGGCUGCAUCAAUAGGAGUAUAGCAUCUAGAUCAAGGGAAGUAAUAGUGCCACUGUAUUCUGCUCUGGUCAGACCUCACCUGGAGUACUGUGUCCAGUUCUGGGCACCACAGUUCAAGAAGGACAC